GCUUGCUAGUAGGCGACGAGUGGCGGACGGGUGAGUAACGCGUAGGAAUCUACCUAGUAGUGGGGGAUAGCCAAGGGAAACUUUGGGUAAUACCGCAUACGAUCUAAGGAUGAAAGGGGGCCUCUCUUUGAAGCUCUCGCUAUCAGAUGAGCCUGCGUAAGAUUAGCUUGUUGGUGGGGUAAUGGCUCACCAAGGCGACGAUCUUUAACUGGUCUGAGAGGAUGAUCAGUCACACUGGAACUGAGACACGGUCCAGACUCCUACGGGAGGCAGCAGUCGGGAAUAUUGGACAAUGGGGGAAACCCUGAUCCAGCCAUGCCGCGUGUGUGAAGAAGGCUCUAGGGUUGUAAAGCACUUUUAGUAGGGAGGAAGGCUCGAUGGUUAAUACCCAUCGGGAUUGACGUUACCUACAGAAAAAGCACCGGCUAAUUUCGUGCCAGCAGCCGCGGUAAUACGAAAGGUGCAAGCGUUAAUCGGAAUUACUGGGCGUAAAGCGCGCGUAGGCGGCUUAGUAAGUUAGAUGUGAAAGCCCCGGGCUCAACCUGGGAACUGCAUCUAAAACUGCUAGGCUAGAGUAUGGUAGAGGAUGGCGGAAUUUCCUGUGUAGCGGUGAAAUGCGUAGAUAUAGGAAGGAACAUCAGUGGCGAAGGCGGCCAUCUGGACCAAUACUGACGCUGAGGUGCGAAAGCGUGGGGAGCAA
rnacentral:rRNA from 1 species